rnacentral:rRNA from 1 species
AGAGUUUGAUCCUGGCUCAGAAUGAACGUUGGCGGCGUGGAUUAGGCAUGCAAGUCGAACGGACCAUGGGUAGCAAUACUUAUGGUCAGUGGCGCAAGGGAGAGUAAUACGUAGGUAUUUACCCUGGGGUCUGGGAUAGCGGCGGGAAACUGCCGGUAAUACCAGAUGAUAUCUCCGGAUCAAAGGUGUGAUUCCGCCCUAGGAGAAGCCUGCGGCCUAUUAGCUAGUUGGCAGGGUAACGGCCUACCAAGGCAAAGAUGGGUAUGGGGCGUGAGAGCGUGCCCCCACUCACUGGGACUGAGACACUGCCCAGACACCUACGGGUGGCUGCAGUCGAGAAUCUUCGGCAAUGGGCGCAAGCCUGACCGAGCGACGCCGCGUGCGGGAUGAAGGCCUUCGGGUUGUAAACCGCUGUCGAAGGGGAGGAAAUGCAGGUGGGUUCACCCAUCUGUUUGACCGAUCCUUGGAGGAAGGGCCGGCUAAUCUCGUGCCAGCAGCCGCGGUAAUACGAGAGGCCCAAACGUUAUUCGGAUUUACUGGGCUUAAAGAGUUCGUAGGCGGUUCGGUAAGUGAGGUGUGAAAGCCCUCGGCUCAACCGAGGAAUUGCGCUUCAAACUGCCGGGCUCGAGGGAGAUAGAGGUGAGCGGAACUGAUGGUGGAGCGGUGAAAUGCGUUGAUAUCAUCAGGAACACCAGAGGCGAAGGCGGCUCACUGGGUCUCUUCUGACGCUGAGGAACGAAAGCUAGGGGAGCAAACGGGAUUAGAUACCCUGGUAGUCC